CUUAGCACAUGCAUGUCUGCAAGUAAGUGGUGUUUCUAGUGGCGCACAUGUGAGUAACGUGUAAAUACAUGCUUUUGGAGGGGAAGAACAAGAAACGACUGUUAACCCCGUAGUGUGAGGAGCAAAAGGAGAAAUCUUUCCAAAAGAGGGUCUUGUGUUUGAUGAUCCAAAAAGUGAGAAAAUAGUUGGCGAUAAUCAAUAGCUGGUCCUAGAGGAUGAUCAACCACACUAUGACACGGCCCAAACUCUUAAGGGACAAAAUUAGGAAGGAGUGGCUAAUGUGUGUAAAACAUAAACCA
rnacentral:ncRNA from 1 species